GCCCAGAUGGGAUUAGCUUGUUGGUGAGGUAACGGCUCACCAAGGCGACGAUCCCUAGCUGGUCUGAGAGGAUGACCAGCCACACUGGAACUGAGACACGGUCCAGACUCCUACGGGAGGCAGCAGUGGGGAAUAUUGCACAAUGGGCGCAAGCCUGAUGCAGCCAUGCCGCGUGUAUGAAGAAGGCCUUCGGGUUGUAAAGUACUUUCAGCGGGGAGGAAGGUGUUGUGGUUAAUAACCGCAGCAAUUGACGUUACCCGCAGAAGAAGCACCGGCUAACUCCGUGCCAGCAGCCGCGGUAAUACGGAGGGUGCAAGCGUUAAUCGGAAUUACUGGGCGUAAAGCGCACGCAGGCGGUCUGUCAAGUCGGAUGUGAAAUCCCCGGGCUCAACCUGGGAACUGCAUUCGAAACUGGCAGGCUUGAGUCUUGUAGAGGGGGGUAGAAUUCCAGGUGUAGCGGUGAAAUGCGUAGAGAUCUGGAGGAAUACCGGUGGCGAAGGCGGCCCCCUGGACAAAGACUGACGCUCAGGUGCGAAAGCGUGGGGAGCAAACAGGAUUAGAUACCCUGGUAGUCCACGCCGUAAACGAUGUCUACUUGGAGGUUGUGCCCUUGAGGCGUGGCUUCCGGAGCUAACGCGUUAAGUAGACCGCCUGGGGAGUACGGCCGCAAGGUUAAAACUCAAAUGAAUUGACGGGGGCCCGCACAAGCGGUGGAGCAUGUGGUUUAAUUCGAUGCAACGCGAAGAACCUUACCUGGUCUUGACAUCCACAGAAGAAUCCAGAGAUGGAUUUGUGCCUUCGGGAACUGUGAGACAGGUGCUGCAUGGCUGUCGUCAGCUCGUGUUGUGAAAUGUUGGGUUAAGUCCCGCAACGAGCGCAACCCUUAUCCUUUGUUGCCAGCGGUUAGGCCGGGAACUCAAAGGAGAC
rnacentral:rRNA from 1 species